CGAGCUCACAGAGCUCUACCUCCCUCUGCCUCUCAAGUGCUAGGAUCAAAGGUUUGUGCCACCACUACCACCCAGCAAAAAUGACUUUUUUUUUUAAAAAGGUUUUUUGAAGAUAAUGUGGGCAUUGGUGUCCACGCUUGUAAAAUGAGGAUGGUUCUAUCUACCAUCCCAUGGGGAUCACAUGGCGUAGACCUGCUGUGCUUUUUGUGGAACCCAGAUAUAUAUAGUCCCAAGUUCCCUAGUGAGAAAGAGCUAAGCACUUCUUUGUGUGUGUGUGUUGUGUAGGCAGUGCAUUUGGUUGUCUCUGUAUAACACGAUGGGCCAUGUCUGUUUGGGAGUGGUGGUGGAUGAAGGCUAUGUUGAGAAGGAAAGACCUAGGAGCUGUGACUUGCAGCCCAAGGCAAAGAAGACAAUUCUGAGGUUGGGACAUAGCCAGGCUGCCUUCAAAAGUGAUGACCCAAUCCCAGGGUUUUGCAAAGCUGAACAUCCAUAGAUGAUUUCAGUGCAGAGUAGCUGACCUGAUUGUGUUCCAUGGAAACCAUCUGUUUGGAGACCCUAGCUGGGGAAGGUCAUGGUGAAAAUCUUCAAGCCUCCAUGAGUUGCAGAAACAAGAGAGGCAUGUGUGCAUCUAUCUGGAUGCUCAGAAAUACAGGUUUUCAACCAGCGGAGCUUCAGUAAAUAUUGAUGAAUUGGACAUCCUAGAGAGGUGCCCUAGGGCAGCUCAACAUGGUGAGCCCCCUGACAUGGACGACUCCAUGGGAUCAGCAUCCAGAGUGAACAAGUUCUCAACAGUCCCAGAGAAGCAUCACAUGAGCUGUGGUGCAAGCAUUAAGAUGGCCUGAGUCAAGGAGCAGCUUUACUCUGAGAAGGCCUCCCCCUGACCCAAGCUGGACAGUAGAGCAUCAUUCAAUCAAUCAAUCAAUCAAUCAAUCAAUCAAUCAAUCAAUCAAUCAAUCAAUCACUCUAUGUUGCAUUUGGUGUUUUGUUCUUUUCUUUUUUUGAGAUAGGGUCUCACUAUGUAGCCUUGGCUGGUCUGGAACUUGGUAUGUAGACCAGGCUGGCCUCAUCCAGAUCUCCAUGUCUUUCUUCCUGUCUCCUGAGUGCUGGGAUUAAAAGUGUGCACUGCCAUUGUUUGACUAGAAACCUGGCCCCGAAGACUCCAAUAAACAUGUUGCUGGUACUGUAUGGCCAGUGUCAACCCAGUGACCCUCAGUCCGCAUCUGCAGCAUUAGAACUGAGUUCUCUGUGUGAUACUCUCUUGGUGACUGUGAGGAAAUUUGGAGAGAAUCAGCCAAUUGGAGAAGAUACUGGUCAUAGCUGUCACAUCCCAAUAGACAUUUUCUCAGUUACACGUUCAUCUCAAAGGACUGAAGGAAGCAGUGGAGAUAUGGUCCAGUUCUCAGAUGGCCUUCAGCUUUGGCCCCCUUGGGCCAGUGAGGAGAAGUCUGCCUGACCCAGCGAGAAGUCUGCCUGACACUCUUGACGGUCUUGAAAGGUGUGGUAAAAAAAAGCCCUUGGAGCAUCUCCCUGUCAGCCAGGCCAGAGCAACAGGUACUGUGGGCUUUAGCAAGAGGACCAUGGAGAACCAGGCUGCCCUUCAACACUCUUAAGAUGUCUUCUGAUAAACAACCAACUCAUUGGCAUUCAAGUCCUUCUUUCCACAGGAUGCUAAGAAUCAGGUCUGCAUCAGGCCAUCACACUGAUGUCAUAAUGGCAGCUUCUUAUCCUUUGUUAACAGCUUUUUGCUCAUUUCCUCCUGAGAGAUCGUCAGAAUGGGCUUCGGCAUCCAUUCGACCAGCAUGCUGGACAGGACCUUGAUCUCAAGGGAGAGCAAAGCCUUCCCCAUGGCACUCCUCACCUAAUGGCCGAGUGAGUCCUCUCCAGAAUCCCCUUCAGCCAGCCCCUUCAUGGCAAUGCUCUGGCCAUCUUGCAAACCCCUCAAAGUCUUCCCACCUCUCUCACUGCACCCUAAAGCCAGGGCUGCAUUUUUAUAUAUUUGUUUUACAGGAUUCCCCCCCACUCCCGUUUUCCAACUAGUUUGUUUUAUUCUGAUGUCAGAAGAAAUAAAAGAGUUGUUUAAACAACAA
ensembl:lincRNA